UGAGUAAUGGAGACUUUUCUAGACUCCCAGUGGGUUCUGGAGUAACAGAGGCUUAUCUAGACCCUCCAUGGGUUCUCAAAUAAUGGGGAUUUUUUUCAGACCCUCCACGGGAUCUAGAGCAGCUGAGGAACUUCCAGUGGGGCCUACAGAGCUGCGUGCUAGAUUCCUGGGCUGAGGCAGCCGGCACCCGGGGGUCACGCGGUUCCCCUUCCCAGCAGGCAGAGACCCCGGUUUGGUCACUGACUGUGCCAUGGGUGGGGCUGGGCCCCAGCUCCAGCAUUGGGGGGCAGAGAAAAGUGAAGCCUGCAGAAUUAGCUGCAGCAUCCACCAGAGCCCCCACCGGGCCCCUGAACCCCCAAUCCCAGCAGCAGAGAUGGCACCAGUGGCUGGAGUGAACGUGGUGGUGGUGGUGGACGGGAGCUGUAUCCUCCAAUACACUCAUCGGGACUCUCCCUGCCAUUGUCUCUGCCAUGGGGAUGCCCUGCUGGCCUGCCAGCCUCCUGCCUGCUAUGGGACCGCUGCACCCUGCAGCCCCCCUGCCGCUGGGUCCCCCCUCUCCCGCCGGGCCCGGGGCCUGGGGGUCCGCUGCGGCACUGAGUUUUGCCUGGGGGAGGAAGAGGAGCAGGCAGAGCGGAGACCCUGCCACCAGGGGGCGCCCCCCCACCAUGCCCCCCCGCCCAGCCGGCUGACGCCGGUGCCCCUGCCCCGCAGCGCCACGGGGCCCUGGUUUACGGUGGAGGCACCAAAGGACGGUGGACCCGGGGCCCAGGUGGCCAGGAUCUGGGACCGGGGGCGCUGCCCCGUGCUGGAGGAGGGCGACCUCGUGGCCAAGGUGAACGGGGCCGACGUGAGGGGCCUCAGGCCCCAGGAGGUGGAGAAUGUCCUGCAGCAGCACACGCGAGCUGGGGACGUCAUCCUGCUGGUGGAGCGGAGAGGUAAGGGGGGCUGUGGGCACUGGGGGGUGCCACUCGUGGCCAUUUCACUUCCUGCCUGACCCACUAGGGGAAACCAGGGGGCCGUG
rnacentral:lncRNA from 1 species